rnacentral:rRNA from 1 species
UACGUAGGGUCCGAGCGUUGUCCAGAGUUACUGGGCGUAAAGCGCACGUAGGCGGCUUUUUAAGUCAGGGGUGAAAUCCUGGAGCUCAACUCCAGAACUGCCUUUGAUACUGGGAAGCUUGAGUCCGGGAGAGGUGAGUGGAACUCCGAGUGUAGAGGUGAAAUUCGUAGAUAUUCGGAAGAACACCAGUGGCGAAGGCGACUUACUGGACACAUAUUGACGCUGAGGUGCGAAAGCGUGGGGAGCAAACAGG